rnacentral:rRNA from 1 species
GACGAACGCUGGCGGCGCGCCUAACACAUGCAAGUCGAACGAGCGAGAGAGAGCUUGCUUUCUCAAGCGAGUGGCGAACGGGUGAGUAACGCGUGAGGAACCUGCCUCAAAGAGGGGGACAACAGUUGGAAACGACUGCUAAUACCGCAUAAGCCCACGGCUCGGCAUCGAGCAGAGGGAAAAGGAGCAAUCCGCUUUGAGAUGGCCUCGCGUCCGAUUAGCUAGUUGGUGAGGUAACGGCCCACCAAGGCGACGAUCGGUAGCCGGACUGAGAGGUUGAACGGCCACAUUGGGACUGAGACACGGCCCAGACUCCUACGGGAGGCAGCAGUGGGGAAUAUUGCACAAUGGGGGAAACCCUGAUGCAGCGACGCCGCGUGGAGGAAGAAGGUCUUCGGAUUGUAAACUCCUGUUGUUGAGGAAGAUAAUGACGGUACUCAACAAGGAAGUGACGGCUAACUACGUGCCAGCAGCCGCGGUAAAACGUAGGUCACAAGCGUUGUCCGGAAUUACUGGGUGUAAAGGGAGCGCAGGCGGGAAGACAAGUUGGAAGUGAAAUCCAUGGGCUCAACCCAUGAACUGCUUUCAAAACUGUUUUUCUUGAGUAGUGCAGAGGUAGGCGGAAUUCCCGGUGUAGCGGUGGAAUGCGUAGAUAUCGGGAGGAACACCAGUGGCGAAGGCGGCCUACUGGGCACCAACUGACGCUGAG